UACGGAGGAUGCGAGCGUUAUCCGGAUUUAUUGGGUUUCAAGGGUGCGUAGGCGGGAUGCCAAGUCAGCGGUAAAAAUGCGGUGCUCAACGCCGUCGAGCCGUUGAAACUGGCGUUCUUGAGUGGGCGAGAAGUAUGCGGAAUGCGUGGUGUAGCGGUGAAAUGCAUAGAUAUCACGCAGAACUCCGAUUGCGAAGGCAGCAUACCGGCGCCCUACUGACGCUGAGGCACGAAAGCGUGGGUAUCGAACAGG
rnacentral:rRNA from 1 species